GAUGCGCGUGACAGGGGGAAGGCAGGAGUGUGCAACGCUGAGGAGCCUGGCUCCCUCGAGCGGCAGGGUGGAAGUGCGGGAGCUGGCGUGACAGUAAUGUAAUUGAACAGAGUCAUGAUCAAGGGCUAGCUCUGGUACAACGUUAGUUGUGCCAACUCUCUGAAGUUCAAAGACAUUCAAAGUUCCUCAUAGAAGCCGCUCCUCUGUAGGUAUAAUUAUAUUUUCCUAAUUCAGAUGUCAUAACAGCAAGAUUCCCAGUGCUUCAUGCUCAGUGCUCUCCUCACCUGCGAAAUUUCAGUUGCAUUUCGCACCUGUUAGUGUUUCAUACUGGAGAGGGAAUGCAGAUCAACGACGCUGGACAGAGUGGAAUCAGGUGUAUCAAAAAGGCCGUUUAUUGGUCAAAGAUAUCUUGUUCUACAUCGUGCACGGAUCUAGUUCAUAUAACCCGAUGAGGGGUCAGGGUUGGAGGCGGACCCGCUCUAGCCAGAGUAGAAGCCCCCAUUGGUGCACAGCAGUCUUCUGUUCUGAGGACCCGACCAGUAAAAGAGGUUCUGAGCUAUCAGGUACAGAUUCAAUCAACCCUUGAUAGAAUUUGGCAAACAACUUCUUUGGCAGCUUCUCUCAGUAUUUUUUUGAUACUAAAGUGAUUGCAUAUGAUUUCUCAGUUGUAAGAAUUGAAAGAUUUUUGGACAACACAAAUGUAUCUUGUAAUUGAUUGUAUGACAA